rnacentral:rRNA from 1 species
AUGGCCGCCACUGCCUCAGAGCCGCCCAUGGUGGAGCAAGUGAUCACCGAGUUCUUUGCCAAGAGCCUCCACAUCAUCCUGGAGUCCCGCUCGCCCUAUGAAUCAUCACGCAGCUUCACGCGGCCUUCACCGCCAUCUUCGCCGCUCUCUGGCAGCCAGCCACGGGACAGGUGGUUCAACCUUGCCCUCCGGGACUGCCCAGCUGCACUUGAGAACUUUGACCUGUGGAGACAGAGCAAUCUUGAGCCACUGGUUAUUGAUAUUGUGAUGCUCCGGCGUGACAAUCCCAACACCACCUGUGCUGAGGGCGGCAAGAUCAUAGAGAGGUGGGUGAUACAGUAUGAAACCAGCAAGCCUGGCAGUGGCAAUGGUAAUGGCAGCAAGAACCACAGCAGGAAGUCUAGGAACAGCCCGGCUGAGGAUCAUAGCUUGUACAGGAGUACAUACAAGGGCUCAACAGUGUUAUUUCGGUCAUUGCAUCUGGUUGUCAGGCUCUUGCCAGCUUACAAUCUCUUCAGGGAGUUGAAUUCAUCUGGGAGAAUCCGUCCACUUAACCUGUCACACAAGAUAUCAUCAUUCGUCGAGCCGUUUACUAGGGCAGAGGAUGCAGAGAUGAAGCACUAUGCAUUUGCUCCAAUUGAAACUCUGUUUGGCCGCCUGAGCUUGUCAGUUUCUUAUGUGCCAGUGCUGGAGGUGGUGGCAGCACCAGAGCCAACCACACACAUGUCAACAGAGCUUAUAAUGGAUUAUGUCGGGAGCCCCACAACAGACUUUCUCAGGACGUUCAAUUCCCUGCCUUCAGAUGGCAUUGCACCUGAUUGUGCUGCAAUGACUAGGCGUCACAGUUGGAGUAUUGACCCUGGAGCUAGACCAUCGGUAUCACCAUCUCCUCUUUUGCAUGAUAGUCCUCUAACACGUUUGCAUCCACAUAGCACAAUAUCCUCUGUGAAGAAAAAAAGUACAGGAUUUGAAGACUGCUAUCCAUCACCACCGUUGUCACCAUCGCCAUCCCGUUCCCCUUCUGCUAGCUACCCAAAAAAUUCUUUGUUCCGAUAUGAGAGUGCUCCUGUGGUCAUUCCCACUGGGAGGGAUGGUGGAGGUAGUGGACUGCCUCCUUCUCCAUCUUUCAAGGGUAAAUACCAGCUCCCAUCUCAAAACUACAACCUAACCCCAUCGCCUGAUGGAAAUUCAAAUGUAAGGAAGGAUUUGGUCAGGUUUGGUGAAUUUGAGAAUAAUGCGGCCAUGCAAAAGGCGCUAUCUUUUGAUAAAUAUGAUUUGGGAUAUUUUCAUGGACUGAAGUUGACAAGGACUGCAAGCAAACUUUUCAUCACGGAUGAACUGGAUGAGCGGGAGUUGGCAUUUGCAUGGGAAGAUAGAGAUAUCAUUAUUGAUCAACUUAACAGGGUUGGUAUCUCGGAUAGGGAGGGCCAAGAGACAAACCAGGAUGCUGGAGGCUCGAUGACAAGGACUCCGGCUGCAGCCAUCGGCGCUCUUGUGCGCAUGCUCAAGACGGCCCCGGGCCUCAGGGCAAGCCGCCCAUCAAUCGAAGCUCCUCCCCCAGUUCCUCAAGAAUCUUCGGUUCAGAGGGUCAUGACCGAGGAACACGGCGACGCCACAUCGAGUUCUGGUUUGCUCGAAUCAAAGACGGCAGCAGAUGCGCUGGAGGAGCUAAAGAAAUACAAGGCUAUCAGAGAAUCGAUACUGGACCGCGCGAAGGCGCUGCCCAGGGAUGAUGCCAAAACUGGGGAGAAACCCGCCGAUGGGGAUCCUUAG